rnacentral:lncRNA from 10 species
CAUCCCACAACACUUGGGAAUUGUGGGAGCUGCAAGAGAUUUGAUGGGGGACAAAGAACCAAACCAUAUCAAGGUGUAAUAAUGCUACUCACCACCUUAUAUAAUUCCAUAUUGUAAGAAGCUUCAGAGACGUGGAUUUUUCUGUUUUCAGGACCUGAAAUAUAUUCCUACAUAGAGUAAAUGGUUCUCCUGCUGGCUAAAUCUAAUUGG